rnacentral:tRNA from 2 species
ACACCCUUAGUUCAACUGGAUAGAACACAUGCCUUCUAAGCUUGCAAUACAGGUUCAAGCCCUGUAGGGUGUA